CCCCACUUGGCCACAGGUCUCAGGAGAAGCCUGAGCCUGGGGAAAGGUGCAAACCCACCAACCCACCAGGAGCCAGAGAAACAGCUAUUAAAGGACCUCUUAUAAUGAAGAAUUGAGGUAAAGCAGCAUAUGUUUAAUAUCUCUAAGAGCAACAAAAUCAUUGGUUCCUUCGUAUCAUCAAAGAUCCUUUCCUAAAACACAUCAAAGCAGAAAUCUGUGAAGAACACCUGGGGGUCAGCACCGGCAAAAUACAAGGAAGAAGUAGGAACUGAAGGUGAAGAUGCUAAGGAAGGUCAGGUAAAGAUCACAAAGAAAAACAGUAAAGAAGAUUUUCAGAACCAAGAACAGCUAGCUUAUUCUGAGUUUAAAAGACCACAUAAAAUAAUUGUGAAUCUGAUGCCAGACUUUCCCUGCUUACACAGGAAAGGACAGACUUAACCUCUUCUUGCUUUUACCCUUCUCUGAAAAGCUUCAAAAAGACUCUGCAGAACCACAUCCUUCCAACACUUAAGAAUAUGACCCCAAACUUAUUAAAGGCAUUGUGCUUACAAAAUUAUUUAAUUAAAUUUUUUCCAGAGCUUCCAGAGAAAUCAAAUUAAAAUUUCAUAUUUCAAUGUAUCCGUACUUUCAGAACAAUAAACAAAUAAAUGUGGUUUAGCAAAGUGUAA